ensembl:lncRNA
CUGUUCAUCUCCCUGGGAUGAAAGUUUCUUGCACGGAAGCAUCAAUGUCAAUGUUGUAUUUCAGGGAUAUCCGGUACAAGAAGCAACUGUUCCUGAAUGAUCCACAAAAAAAGAUGGGCUGAACUGCAAUAUUGGCAAUAUCUGAAGGAAAGGGGGAAGAUGAAGCCAGAAAGACAGGUCCACCAUGUCAGAACGCCACUGGUCUCCUGGGAGUCAUUCAUUGACGGGCAGCAGGACGGGGAGGCGCUGGGUUUCCUUCUGCUCAGGAGGACCUUUCUUUUUUUAAGGCUGCACAUCAUUCCUGGGCUGCUGACUGAAUAUAGAUGUGGUUUAAUUUUAUAGUAGGCUAUUGGUAAUACAUAUUUCUUUAUAACGUGGGAAUUGAUUUAAAACAUGUAACGCUUUCUGAAUGACUUCCAGACAUAAAGUUUUAGCUUUCUGGUCUGAAAAUAUUGACUGUAAUUAUUAAAUGUUUAAGGUGCUCCACUGGUAGUAGAAAUGUAUUUUGAGUGCUAUUUACCAUUUCCUUUGCUGAGCUGAAUUUUGUUAUAGUUUCUCUUUUUUUUUUUUCUAAUUAAAAAAAUCAAAUCUUUCCUACAUGAUUAAAAUACCUUAGAGGUAAUUAUUAGAAUUAAG